UUCCUCUCUUCUUCUUUUCUUUUCCUUUCUUUUCCUUUCAUUUCCUUGCAGCUUCUCAAUAACAUCGUGAUGGACAGUGUUGGCAUUCGUUUGUUAGAAGAAUCUGAAGAAGAAUCUGAAGAAUCUGAAGAGUCUGAAGGAUAUGAAUUAGAAUCUGAAGAAGAAGAAG
rnacentral:ribozyme from 1 species